UAGAGGUGAAAUUCUUGGAUCGUCGCAA
rnacentral:sRNA from 1 species